GGCGAACGGGUGAGUAACACGUGGGCAACCUGCCCCAGACUCUGGGAUAACACCGAGAAAUCGGUGCUAAUACCGGAUACGACCACUUCGGGCAUCCGACGGUGGUGGAAAGUUUUUCGGUCUGGGAUGGGCCCGCGGCCUAUCAGCUAGUUGGUGGGGUAAUGGCCUACCAAGGCGACGACGGGUAGCCGGCCUGAGAGGGCGACCGGCCACACUGGAACUGAGACACGGUCCAGACUCCUACGGGAGGCAGCAGUGGGGAAUAUUGCGCAAUGGGCGAAAGCCUGACGCAGCGACGCCGCGUGAGGGACGAAGGCCUUCGGGUUGUAAACCUCUUUCAGCAGGGACGAGGCGAAAGUGACUGUACCUGCAGAAGAAGCACCGGCUAACUACGUGCCAGCAGCCGCGGUAAUACGUAGGGUGCAAGCGUUGUCCGGAUUUAUUGGGCGUAAAGAGCUCGUAGGCGGUUUGUCGCGUCGGAUGUGAAAACCUAUGGCUUAACCAUGGGCCUGCAUUCGAUACGGGCAGACUAGAGUUCGGUAGGGGAGACUGGAAUUCCUGGUGUAGCGGUGAAAUGCGCAGAUAUCAGGAGGAACACCGGUGGCGAAGGCGGGUCUCUGGGCCGAUACUGACGCUGAGGAGCGAAAGCGUGGGGAGCAAACAGGAUUAGAUACCCUGGUAGUCCACGCCGUAAACGUUGGGCGCUAGGUGUGGGGAACCUUCCACGUUCUCCGUGCCGUAGCUAACGCAUUAAGCGCCCCGCCUGGGGAGUACGGGCGCAAGGCUAAA
rnacentral:rRNA from 1 species